AUUGAACGCUGGCGGCAGGCUUAACACAUGCAAGUCGAGCGGAGAUGAGGUGCUUGCUCCUUAUCUUAGCGGCGGACGGGUGAGUAAUGCUUAGGAAUCUGCCUAUUAGUGGGGGACAACAUUCCGAAAGGAAUGCUAAUACCGCAUACGUCCUACGGGAGAAAGCAGGGGAUCUUCGGACCUUGCGCUAAUAGAUGAGCCUAAGUCGGAUUAGCUAGUUGGUGGGGUAAAGGCCUACCAAGGCGACGAUCUGUAGCUGGUCUGAGAGGAUGAGCGGCCACACUGGGAUUGAGACACGGCCCAGACUCCUACGGGAGGCAGCAGUGGGGAAUAUUGGACAAUGGGGGGAACCCGGAUCCAGCCAUGCCGCGUGUGUGAAGAAGGCCUUAUGGUUGUAAAGCACUUUAAGCGAGGAGGAGGCUACUGAGACUAAUACUCUUGGAUAGUGGACGUUACUCGCAGAAUAAGCACCGGCUAACUCUGUGCCAGCAGCCGCCGUAACAC
rnacentral:rRNA from 1 species